rnacentral:tRNA from 2 species
GCGGUAGUAGCUCAGUUGGCUAGAGCGCUUCCUUGCCAAGGAAGAGGUCGCCAGUUCAAAUCUGGUUUACCGCU